rnacentral:tRNA from 1 species
GGAGAGGUGCGAGAGUGGCUGAAUCGGCACGAUUGGAAAUCGUGUGAGCCUCCGGGUUCCGAGGGUUCGAAUCCCUCCCUCUCCGCCA